rnacentral:lncRNA from 1 species
CUAGAUGAUGCCCGCGCGUUGCCGCGGUUUGCAAUGACAGACAUUGACCUACUGUAAAUGCUUAUGUAUGGAUCAAUUUUGCUGUUAUUUCAUGUGUUGAUGGAUGCAGCAACAUAAGAGGGACAUUUUAUAUACGUUAUAGAGAGUACAUUACAUGGAGAAGAAGCAGAAGAUGGAAAUAUUAGAUUUACAAAAAAUCCAUGAAGUUAGCGUCCGAUGCUAUACAAAUGUACAAAAGUUGGUCACCCACAGCAUCAGCGCUCCACCUAUUACCAAAGAGUGAACAACCUGUAAAUACACUUUUAUGUUGCUAUUCUGUAACUAAAUUAGGAAUGAGUUAUAUUGUUCAAUCCACUGAGGCUGGUUUUUUUUUAAAUUUAAAUCUCAUUGGUGCAAGAAAACACAGUUGAUCUACAAUAAAAAUAGUUCUUUGUAAUGCAACAANNNNNNNNNNNNNNNNNNNNUGUAAACUCGGAUCAUCUUAGAACUCCGUUCAUAUUGAAAUGAUAAACACUUCUAUGUUUAGAAUACCUAUGUCUAACUGAUCAUCGUCUUCAAUCAUGGCAGCAUAGAAACUUGGAGCUACGUAUACUAUUUCAAUGCCAAAAUCUGGAGUCCAUAAAAAAACCUCCGUAAAACAGCCACACUCAAUUUGAUACAUAACCAACAUGCAAGCCAAAUCAAAAAAUCAAACGGUUAAUCUAAUCAAAGGAACCACAUCGAAGUACCUGAGCGAAUGUGAUCAAGGCCGAAUCAACGCGAUCACUAUCAAGAUAGAACUAAUUUCACUACAGAACACAACGAAAAUUAUCAAACCACUGACAUGUAAACAAAAAUAGGGGGAAAUCCCAUUGAUUCAUAGUACCUUUGGAAGACGGAAGAAGCCAAAAGCGUCGGUGACACAAACCCAACCACCAAACCCGAAGCACCACCCGACUGGAACUCCAAAGAUAACCUAAAUAAGGAGAGACUCAAUGAAGAGAAGAAGGGACUGCUGCGUCGGAGAGAAAGCCAAGCAGAGAUGAGACCGAGAGAGAGCCAAGCAGAGAUCGAUGAGACGGAGAGAGAGCGACGAAAGCAAAAGAGGAAAAGGAGGUCUGCUGUGCGUGGAACAAGGUUUUAAUUUGAGGAGAAUAAACGUUGCCAAGAUGAGGACACGCCUUGAGAGCAGUUGGCUAAACAAAGGACACAUUUGGGGAGCAGUGGCAAAACAAAUGAAUUAAUGACAGUUUUGCAAUUUAACCCAAACUGGGGGCAAAAACACAAUUCAUCUAAAUUGGGGGUA